rnacentral:rRNA from 1 species
GCUUAGAGUUUGAUCCUGGCUCAGAUUGAACGCUGGCGGCAUGGCUAAAACAUGCAAGUCGAACGAGCUCUUCGGAGCGAGUGGCGAAAGGGCGAGGAAUACGAUCGAAUGUACCCCGAGGUGCGGGAUAGGUCAUGGAAACGUGGCGUAAUACCGCAUGUGCUCUCCGGAGGAAAGGCUUGCCGCCUUGGGAGCAGCGAUCGUCCUAUCAGGUUGUUGGUGAGGUAACGGCUCACCAAGCCGAAGACGGGUAGCGGGUGUGAGAGCAUGACCCGCCGCAUCGGGACUGAGACACUGCCCGGACUCCUACGGGAGGCUGCAGUAACGAAUCUUCCGCAAUGGGCGAAAGCCUGACGGAGCAAUGCCGCGUGUGGGAUGAAGCAUCUCAGAUGUGUAAACCACUGUCAGGGUCUAGGAACAAUGACCAGACCCAGAGGAAGGGCCGGCUAAUUCCGUGCCAGCAGCCGCGGUAAUACGGAAGGCCCGAGCGUUAUUCGGAAUCACUGGGCUUAAAGCGUACGCAGGCGGAUUUGUAGGUAUCUCGUGAAAUCCCACGGCUCAACCGUGGAACUGCGGGGUAAACCACAAGUCUUGAGGCAUGUAGGGGUCAGUGGAACGAUGUGUGGAGCGGUGAAAUGUGUAGAUAUACAUCGGAACGCCAAUGGCGAAGGCAGCUGACUGGGCAUGUCCUGACGCUCAGGUACGAAAGCGUGGGUAACGAACGGGAUUAGAUACCCCGGUAGUCCACGCCGU